rnacentral:misc_RNA from 1 species
AAAAAAUUAAUUCAUAAAAAAAAAAAAAAGAGUAUGUUGAUUAUAUCAAAACUAGAGAGAAAUAAUAAUUUUAGUUUAUCAUGGGUAGGGAUCCUAUUGCUGACAUAAUAACCUCUAUAAGAAAUGCUGACAUGAAUAGAAAAGGAAUCGUUCGAAUAGCAUCUACUAACAUCACCGAAAACAUUAUUAAAAUACUUUUAAGAGAAGGUUUUAUUGAAAAUGUCAGGAAACAUAAGGAGGGCAACAAAAAAUUUUUGGUUUUAACCCUACGACACAGAAGGAAGAGGAAAGAACCCUAUAGAACUAGUCUAAAUUUAAAACGGAUCAGCCGACCUGGUCUACGAAUCUAUUCUAACUAUCAAAAAAUUCCUAGAAUUUUGGGCGGGAUGGGCAUUGUAAUUCUUUCUACUUCUCGGGGUAUAAUGACAGACCGAGAAGCUCGACUCGAAAGAAUCGGCGGAGAAAUCUUGUGUUAUAUAUGGUAAUCUUUCUGAUAUCCGAAUUGUAUCCAGAC